rnacentral:rRNA from 1 species
GAUCCUGGCUCAGGACGAACGCUGGCGGCGCGCCUAACACAUGCAAGUCGAACGAGAGAUGAGGAGCUUGCUCUUCAAAUCGAGUGGCGAACGGGUGAGUAACGCGUGAGGAACCUGCCUCAAAGAGGGGGACAACAGUUGGAAACGACUGCUAAUACCGCAUAAGCCCACGGCCCGGCAUCGAGCAGGGGGAAAAGGAGCAAUCCGCUUUGAGAUGGCCUCGCGUCCGAUUAGCCAGUUGG